rnacentral:rRNA from 1 species
GCUCGCCGGAAGACCAAGGGUUCCUGUCCAACGUUAAUCGGGGCAGGGUGAGUCGACCCCUAAGGCGAGGCCGAAAGGCGUAGUCGAUGGGAAACAGGUUAAUAUUCCUGUACUUGGUGUUACUGCGAAGGGGGGACGGAGAAGGCUAUGUUGGCCGGGCGACGGUUGUCCCGGUUUAAGCGUGUAGGCUGGUUUUCCAGGCAAAUCCGGAAAAUCAAGGCUGAGGCGUGAUGACGAGGCACUACGGUGCUGAAGCGACAAAUGCCCUGCUUCCAGGAAAAGCCUCUAAGCAUCAGGUAACAUCAAAUCGUACCCCAAACCGACACAGGUGGUCAGGUAGAGAAUACCAAGGCGCUUGAGAGAACUCGGGUGAAGGAACUAGGCAAAAUGGUGCCGUAACUUCGGGAGAAGGCACGCUGAUAUGUAGGUGAAGCGACUUGCUCGUGGAGCUGAAAUCAGUCGAAGAUACCAGCUGGCUGCAACUGUUUAUUAAAAACACAGCACUGUGCAAACACGAAAGUGGACGUAUACGGUGUGACGCCUGCCCGGUGCCGGAAGGUUAAUUGAUGGGGUUAGCGGUAACGCGAAGCUCUUGAUCGAAGCCCCGGUAAACGGCGGCCGUAACUAUAACGGUCCUAAGGUAGCGAAAUUCCUUGUCGGGUAAGUUCCGACCUGCACGAAUGGCGUAAUGAUGGCCAGGCUGUCUCCACCCGAGACUCAGUGAAAUUGAACUCGCUGUGAAGAUGCAGUGUACCCGCGGCAAGACGGAAAGACCCCGUGAACCUUUACUAUAGCUUGACACUGAACAUUGAGCCUUGAUGUGUAGGAUAGGUGGGAGGCUUUGAAGUGUGGACGCCAGUCUGCAUGGAGCCGACCUUGAAAUACCACCCUUUAAUGUUUGAUGUUCUAACGUGGGCCCCUUACCGGGGUUGCGGACAGUGUCUGGUGGGUAGUUUGACUGGGGCGGUCUCCUCCUAAAGAGUAACGGAGGAGCACGAAGGUUGGCUAAUCCUGGUCGGACAUCAGGAGGUUAGUGCAAUGGCAUAAGCCAGCUUGACUGCGAGCGUGACGGCGCGAGCAGGUGCGAAAGCAGGUCAUAGUGAUCCGGUGGUUCUGAAUGGAAGGGCCAUCGCUCAACGGAUAAAAGGUACUCCGGGGAUAACAGGCUGAUACCGCCCAAGAGUUCAUAUCGACGGCGGUGUUUGGCACCUCGAUGUCGGCUCAUCACAUCCUGGGGCUGAAGUAGGUCCCAAGGGUAUGGCUGUUCGCCAUUUAAAGUGGUACGCGAGCUGGGUUUAGAACGUCGUGAGACAGUUCGGUCCCUAUCUGCCGUGGGCGCUGGAGAACUGAGGGGGGCUGCUCCUAGUACGAGAGGACCGGAGUGGACGCAUCACUGGUGUUCGGGUUGUCAUGCCAAUGGCACUGCCCGGUAGCUAAAUGCGGAAGAGAUAAGUGCUGAAAGCAUCUAAGCACGAAACUUGCCCCGAGAUGAGUUCUCCCUGACUCCUUGAGAGUCCUGAAGGAACGUUGAAGACGACGACGUUGAUAGGCCGGGUGUGUAAGCGCAGCGAUGCGUUGAGCUAACCGGUACUAAUGAACCGUGAGGCUUAACCUUACAACGCCGAAG